GGAGAAGGGCCAUAGCUUAGUGGUAGAGCAUCUGCCUUGUACACAGGUGGUCUUAAGUUCAAUCCCUGGCAUCUCCA